rnacentral:lncRNA from 1 species
CGCAGCGUCUGAAAGCAUCUUUUAAAACCUAACUGAUCAUUUUUUACAGAAACGGUCUUUAUUUGACAGUUUUUGAACAAACAGAAUCAGGAUGAAUAACGGUAACAUCAGUGUGGUUGUUUUCUUUCUCCUGGUGAUGAUGACAUCAUCUCUGUGUGCUCCAUUAAUGAGCAGAGCGUUUGAGGACGUAAAAGAAGCGGAGCUGAUUUUUGACCCCCUCCAGCCUCACAUUGACCUCAACGACGAUUACGGUGUGAAACCUCACCCUCUCCCAGUGUUUCCAGGCAUUGACGGUCCUUAUCAACCAAACUUGGAGGAUGAAUAUUACUGAUCCGAUGACACGGGGAAGACUAGUUUUGUCCCAUAUUCUACUGUAACUCAAUGUAGACAAUAGGAAAACAGACAAAAACUACAUGUAUUUAUGAGG